UUUUUAUGUGACUCUUCCAAGUCUAAAAACUUCUCUUCUUUUCUAUAUGACCAAGCUCCCACGUGAGGUGCAGCUUUAUUCAUUCCUCUCUCUUGCGAAAAUGGCCUCAGAAGUCCUCAUUUUCUUGACUCUAAAUUCCGGUGGCCUUCCUCUAGAAGCAAAAGGCAGCUCCGCAAUACUUGGGCUCCUAAAGAUUUUGUAAUGUUUUGAAAUUCUUUUCAGGUUUGUCAGCCGAUGAAUUCCAAAAUGAAUAAGGGUUACAUAUUUCUUUUCUUUCUGCUGCCUCAGCUCUUCACCACUUGCUUGUCCUCUUUUUGUGGCUCGAAUUCAAAGCAAAAGAGGAAGAAGAUAACCAGUAGGUGACCCUGUUUUCAUUUUUCUGUGUUCUGAAUUUGAUUCGCAGUGGGUUGAAGCUCUGAACUGUGACUGAUUGGUUUAAUUAAUUCGUGCAGAAGUAACAGAAUCUCUUUGAUUGGUUGUUUGGACAAACUAUUUUGCAGUACUUUGAAAACAAGUGUUGAUUCAUGGCUCCAAAGAUGGGAAUUUGCACUCAUAAAUUCGUAGUAAUGCAUCCCUCGUAUCUGCUGCAUUUUGAAUGAGUUUUGAUGUAUUAGAGUGUAAUUACUCUCUGGCAUUUCUGUUUCCUCAGGGGAAAUUAUUUGACUGGUCUUGACAGUGGGCAUUUGGACACCCCUUUUGUGUUCCCAUUUAUGUUUUGUCUUUGAUACUUGCCAUGCUUUUCUUGUUAACACUUGUAUAAAGUGAUGUUUUUCCCAAAA